AACGUACGCUGGCGGCACGCCUAACACAUGUAAGUCGAACGCAGUAGCAAUACUGAGUGGCAGACGGGUGAGUAACAUGUGGGAAUCUGCCUUGUGGUUCAGGACAACAUUGGGAAACCGAUGCUAAUACUGGAUAAGCCCUUACGGGGAAAGUUUUAAUGCCAUAAGAUGAGCCCGCAUUUGAUUAGUUAGUUGGUGAGGUAAUGGCUCACCAAGACAAUGAUCAAUAGCUGACCUGAGAGGAUGAUCAGCCACACUGGGACUGAGACACGGCCCAGACUCCUACGGGAGGCAGCAGUGGGGAAUCUUGCACAAUGGAGGAAACUCUGAUGCAGCGAUGCCGCGUGAGUGAAGAAGGCCUUUGGGUUGUAAAGCUCUUUUGUAGGGGAAGAUAAUGACUGUACCCUAAGAAUAAGGUCCGGCUAACCUCGUGCCAGCAGCCGCGGUAAUACGAAGGGACCUAGCGUAGUUCGGAAUUACUGGGCGUAAAGCGCGCGUAGGCCGUUGAGUUAGUUAAUUGUGAAAUCCCAAAGCUUAACUUUGGAACUGCAAUUAAAACUGCUCGACUAGAGUUUGAUAGAGGAAAGCGGAAUACAUAGUGUAGAGGUGAAAUUCGUAGAUAUUAUGUAGAACACCAGUUGCGAAGGCGGCUUUCUGGAUCAACACUGACGCUGAGGCGCGAAAGUAUGGGUAGCAAAGAGGAUUAGAUACCCUCGUAGUCCAUACCAUAAACGAUGAUUGCUAGAUGUUGGAAAUUUAUUUUCAGUAUCGCAGCUAACGCAUUAAGCAAUCCGCCUGGGGAGUACGACCGCA
rnacentral:rRNA from 1 species